ACUUGGGAGGCCGAGGGGAGGGGAUCACUUGAGCCUGGGAGGUGGAGGCUGCAGUGAGCUGAGAUCCCACCACCGUACUCCAGUCUGGGCAAUUGAGCGAGAACCUAUCUCAAAAGAAAAAAAAAAGAAAAGUGGCCUGAUGGCAGAGAUGGGGGCUGAGGGUGAGGAGACGGAUAAUCAACAGGCCAUGGAGAACAGCAGAGGGAGGGAGAGUGGCUGCUAUUCAACUGGAGAAGGGACAGAGGGGAGACUGGAACAGCUCGCACAUAGGACAGGAAGUGGGGUGGUAAGAUGUCACCCCUAGGCCAAGGGGGCAGUGGUUUAAAUGGGGGCUCAGGUCAGAAAAGCAUCCUAUCUAUGGUAAUGCGGGAACCUGGCUUUGUUCUGAUACUGAACUCAGAUCUGAGACGCCACCCAGGUGUAUGUUAUAUGGGUUCUGAGAGGUCCAGCAGCAAGCAGGGCAGUUGGGCCCACCCCAGAGCAGCUGUACGCCCUUGGAGAUGGCCUGAAAUUGGCCAAGCUCUGGAAUGAGGGUCUGGGCAUUGCUCCCAGCAUCUGACCUUGGAAGGAAGCAGAAGCAGAGCUGUGGUUUUGAAGAUUUUCCUUCCCCAACGGAGACCCAUUGCAGCCUGUUAUGAAGGACCCAGCACAGGAGCCCUGUGCAGCAGGGACUCUGAUCCUCAUUGCAUGCAGGAAGAGAAGAAGGAAGAGGAGGUGGAGGCUUGAUGAGGAGGUGGUGGCCU
rnacentral:lncRNA from 1 species